GUUUAUCCUGACUUUAACCUUAACUAUUUCUUAACUUACACAUGCAAGUCUCAGCACUCCAGUGAAAACGCCCUUUAAACCUAUAAAAGGAUAAGGAGCUGGCAUCAGGCACAGAAUCCUUGCCCAUAACGCCUAGUUUCACCACGCCUCCAAAGGUAGUCAGCAGUGAUCAACAUUGUCCAUAGGCGAAAGCCCGAGUCAGUUAAAGAAAAGAGAGUUGGCCAACCCGGUGCCAGCCGCCGCGGCCAUACCGGUGGACUCAAGUUAAUGCCAACCGGCGUAAAGCGUGAUUAAAGAAUUACUAAAUUAGAGUUGAAGUGUGGCUUAGCUGUUGAAAGCUUACCUAAUUAGAACCCCAGAAACGAAAGUUACUCUAAUUAACCUCUUGAAUACACGACAGUUUGGGCACAAACUGGGAUUAGAUACCCCACUAUGCCACACCGUAAAUUUGAACUACACUUAAAACGCCAGGGUACUACGAGCCGAGCUUAAAACCCAAAGGAUUUGACGGUGUUCCACCCAACUAGAGGAGCCUGUUCUAUAAUCGAUGAUCCACGAUAUACCUAACCAUUUUUUGCUAUUCAGCCUGUAUACCUCCGUCGUAAGCUUACCGCUUGAGUGAGGAAAAGUAAGCAAAAGGGCCUAAGGCCAAAACGUCAGGUCAAGGUGCAGCUUAUAAAAUGGAAGAAAUGAGCUACAAUUUCUAAUUUAGAAUACACGAAUUACUGCAUGAAACAAAGUCAUGAAGGUGGAUUUAGCAGUAAGUGAGGAAUAGAGAGCCUCACUUAAUUCGGCCCUGGAACGCGUACAAACCGCCCGUCACCCUCUUCGAUAGCUUAAUUAAUAGUUAAAUAACCUAUUCACCGCGUUUUAGAAGAGGCAAGUCGUAACAUGGUAAGCAUACUGGAAAGUGUUCUUGGAAUAAC
rnacentral:ncRNA from 1 species